rnacentral:rRNA from 1 species
AACGAACGCUGGCGGCACGCCUAACACAUGCAAGUCGAACGGUAGGUAUAGUUUACUAUACUGAGAGUGGCGGACGGGUGAGUAACGCGUGGGAACCUGCCCUGUAGUUUGGGAUAACCAUGGGAAACUAUGGCUAAUACCGGAUAAGCUCGAGAGAGGAAAGAUUUAUCGCUAUAGGAUGGGCCCGCGUCAGAUUAGGUAGUUGGUAGGGUAAUGGCCUACCAAGCCGAUGAUCUGUAGCUGGUCUGAGAGGAUGGCCAGCCACACUGGGACUGAGACACGGCCCAGACUCCUACGGGAGGCAGCAGUGGGGAAUAUUGGACAAUGGGGGAAACCCUGAUCCAGCGAUGCCGCGUGAGUGAAGAAGGCCUUCGGGUUGUAAAGCUCUUUCACCUGAGACGAUAAUGACGGUAUCAGGAGAAGAAGCACCGGCUAACUCUGUG